UACGUAGGGGGCAAGCGUUGUCCGGAUUCAUUGGGCGUAAAGCGCGGGCAGGCGCCCGCUCAGUCGGCCGUGAAAGCGCCGGGCUCAACUCGGCGAGGUCGGGCGAUACUGGCGGGCUCGAGGCUGGUAGAGGGCGGUGGAAUUCCGGGUGUAGUGGUGGAAUGCGUAGAGCUCCGGAGGAACACCAGUGGCGAAGGCGGCCGCCUGGGCCAGCCUCGACGCUGAGCCGCGAAGCGUGGGGAGCAAACGGAUUGGAGACAUAC
rnacentral:rRNA from 1 species